CAAGGUUGUUCUAACAAGCUGAUACAGUCAUGAUAUAACAAGAAUGUUACAAGGUUGACGACACAAGGUUGUAACAUUCUUGUUAUAUCAUAACUGUAUCAGACUUGUUGGAACAACCUUG